rnacentral:rRNA from 1 species
AUGUCCCAUGACAUGGCAGAAGGAAUGCUAUUGAACUUGUCAACAUCAUUUUCGACUGCGAAGUCAAGCCACGGCUCUUCGACGAUGCCAAUGGCGGGGAGGUCAUCCUCAUCUUCCAGCAGCCACUUCACUAGUGGAUCUUGGUCAUGCAUGCCGUUGGUACCACUUGUAGUGUUGUCGGUGUUUGUGCCUGAUAACUCCGGCGGGCUGGACUCGCUGCCGACCGAUGACGCGUCCUUGUCCAUAUUGAUGUGUGUGUCCUGCUGCUGGCUUUUUUCCCCAUUGUUGGACUUGCAUUCAAUCGUGAUGGUCGAGGAUUGUGCAGAUGUUGUGGAUAGGCUAGCUUGUUGUGGUUGCUUUCGGACUUCGAGGGGCUCGUGUGUGAUCGGGUCAAUUCCCAUCUUGAUGAGCUUCUUCUUUAUGUGUGUGUUCCAAUGA